rnacentral:rRNA from 1 species
AGAGUUUGAUCCUGGCUCAGGAUGAACGCUGGCGGCGUGCCUAAUACAUGCAAGUCGAACGGACGGUAGCAAUACCGUUAGUGGCGAACGGGUGAGUAACGCGUUGGUGACCUGCCUCGAAGCGUGGGAUAACAGGCCGAAAGGCUUGCUAAUACCGCAUGGUCAACCGGGAGACUAGAAGCCUGGUUGUAAAGGAUUUGUUCGCAAGAACGCAUCCGCUUUGAGAGGGGCCUGCGUCCCAUCAGCUAGUUGGUAAGGUAACGGCUUACCAAGGCGAUGACGGGUAGGGGACCUGAGAGGGUGAUCCCCCACAAUGGAACUGAAACACGGUCCAUACACCUACGGGUGGCAGCAGUAGGGAAUAUUGCUUAAUGGGCGAAAGCCUGAAGCAGCAACGCCGCGUGUGCGAUGAAGGCCUUCGGGUUGUAAAGCACUUUUUGCUGGGAAGAGGAAGGACGGUACCAGCAGAAUAAGCCUCGGCUAACUACGUGCCAGCAGCCGCGGUAAAACGUAGGAGGCGAGCGUUAUCCGGAUUUACUGGGUGUAAAGCGCGUGCAGGCGGUUUACUAAGUUAGGUGUGAAAGCUCCUGGCUCAACUGGGAGAGGUCGCUUAAGACUGGUAGACUCGAGAGCAGUAGGGGAAGGUGGAAUUCCGGGUGUAGUGGUGAAAUGCGUAGAUAUCCGGAGGAACACCAGUGGCGAAGGCGGCCUUCUGGACUGCAUCUGACGCUCAGACGCGAAAGCUAGGGUAGCAAACGGGAUUAGAGACCCCGGUAGUCCUAGCCGUAAACGAUGUGAACUUGGCGCUGGGCGGGUAAAACCGAUCAGUGCCGAAGCAAACGCGAUAAGUUCACCACCUGGGGACUACGGCCGCAAGGUUAAAACUCAAAGGAAUUGACGG